GGUCAAUCCCCACCAUUUUGGGGCUCUCGAGGCCCUGGGUCGGUCCCCGCCAUUUUGGGUCAGGCCCUGGGUCAGUCCCUGCCAUUUUGGGGCAGCUCCUGGGUCAGUCCCCGCCAUUUUGGGUCAGGCCCUGGGUCAGUCCCCGCCAUUUUGGGGCAGCCCCUGGGGCAGUCCCCGCCAUUUUGGCGCAGCCCCUGGGUCAGUGCCCGCCAUUUUGGGCAGACAAUGCAGGAGCAGAGAGGUGUGUAUAAAACUUAGAAAGAAAAGAUCCACCUGAAAAUUCCACUUCACGCUACAGUGGAAUUUUCCAGAAUUUACCCAGUUAUCCAGAUUAGAACCCAGAACUCUUGAACCUUCAUGUUGAGGUGAGGAGAGAACAGACUUGUUCCACAAGGCUUCAGUGCUGUCUGCUCUGUAGCUGGAAAAGCAGCACCGUGAUUUAUAGUUUUUGGAGAUAUUUUGGUGCAUCCAAGAUCAACUUUCUGCUUGAGUCGCACUAGACAAGUAGAGAGAAAUCAGUAGAUAUUCUGACAGUUUGCAAAAUGGAAAUAAACUGUGUUUGUUCAGGUGGAGAAGAGAUGGACUCGAAGGUGCAGCAGAAGGAGUACAAGGCCACGGCGAGGCUGUCUCAGGUGGGAGGGAUCGAGGAGAUGACAGGGAGGCAGGCAAGAGGCGAGGAAUGACAGAAACACCUGGGGGGGAAGUGCUGGCACAUCCAGGCUCUUCUCUUCUGCAUGUCACCUGGCUGUGAAUGAUGCAAUAAAAAUGCACUGUCUCUUACAGUCAGGGUAGAAGAAGUGUUGUUCUGUUCCUGAAAAAUACACAACAUGCAUGGCAUCGACCAGACGAGGUGGAAUCUUAAAUAUUCCAGCAGCUUUUGGAAAUUUGCUGUCUAGUUUGUCUCGGUAGCUUCAUUCACCCUCUUGUGAGUUUGGUUAAACCACAGCUGCACCGAUCCUCUCAUGUAAUGGCAGGUUCCAGCUGUCUGAAGGAGAUCAAAGAUGGAAGAGAGAAACCUGGCUGCCUCCAACCUGGAAAUUCAACACAGUCCAUCCAUGUGGCUGCAGCGUCCGUGGGCCUUCGGGAGGUUCUGCACAGUGAAGUUCUUCUCUGAGCAGCCCCUUUUCUCAAGGAAGCUCCAAGAAAGCAGUUUUUUCUGGAAGCUGCCCCACGGUAGAGUUGUGCCUUGUGGGUCAGAGAUGAAAGGAGCUGGCCUGUAACCUUGUGAAACCGAAACCCUUUUUUUCCGAAGGACUCUUAAAUCCCAGGAGAAUCCAGUUAAACAUCUGUUCUGGCUACACAAGGCAUGGUAAUGGGUGGCUCCAGUGCUACUGUGAUUAGAGGUGGCUCCUCGAUUAAUUCCUGCUCCACCUGGGGACAUCUUUUAGUGGAAGCAGGGUUGUCUCUUGUCCUGUGUUUUCAUCCAGCACCUUGCACAGCAGAGGCACCAUCUGGGCUUGCAGCUUUCACCUCAGUGCUGAUUCUGAGGAUGAAGAAUCACCUCUUACCUUUCUCAGCUCAAGGAAAGGACAUGAAAUGAGCCAAGAGCAUUGUGUGAGUCAAGAGGUGCAGAAGUGCUGCCAAGCAGUGGCUCCCACCGUGUUGGGAAUGGUGAAUUCCAAAGAAAUGGCUCUGUGGUGCAGCUGGCAGCAGCAGCAAGGUCACCCACAGAAAGGAGGCAGGCAGCAGGUAAGAGUCUCAGUGUCUCACUUGUCCAUCCAGACACUUUGUGGUUUCCCACUCUGUGGUGUGGGGAGCACAUCAGCAGGUCACCCUUGGAACACUGGAUGCUGAGCAAAGUAGGAAGAAGGUGAGAGUGAGGAGCAGGGAGGGAGGGAGUUAUUGAUUUGGGACUGCAGCAGUGAGAAGUGAGCCAGCCCUCUGACUCCAAGGGUUUUGCCUCGUUCACAGAAAUAAGUAACCUGAGGUACAAGAUUCUUAACACUUCAGCAAGAUAUUUCUUUGUCCUCUGUUGGCUUCUUCCAGUUCUAGACAGCUGUGCCUAUCUAAUUCCAAAGUGAUUCCAGCCAGUCUGCUGCUGUACUGGCACUGUUCCAGCCUACCUGUGGCUGUGUGUGCCCUGGUAACUGAGUGCCUGCACAGCCCCAACGUGCAGAAGCAGCUGCAUCACCUCCCCAUUUGAAAUUAGGUACUCGAAAUAAUCUUUACUUGGUGAGAAAUAAAGAAUAUUGCCUAAUAAAGGUAGCUCUAACUUUCUGGAUUUUUUUUUUUAACACAGUACCAGCCCAAUAUCUUUCUGUGUUUAUUUAAAUGGGAAAAGUUUAAUCUUCAAAAAGCAGGGCCUACUGAGACUCCCUCAGUCACAACCAUUAGUUGUUUUCAGCUCAGACUUUUCAUGUCACAGUCUUGGCAUCAAAUAUCUUGUAGUAAAUCUAAUUUCAUAGCUUGGACUGCACCCAACAGUGGGAUUAUACCUUGAGUAUCCUAUUUGAAAAGGCAGAGCAUAUUGUGCUGAGUACAGGUGCAGAAACAGCAAGCCAGCUUUGCUCUGAAGUGAUGAAAACCAAUUUCCUGGGAAGGGAGCUGUAUAUUUUCUCAGAACUUUAGGCAGCAGAAUAUUAAAAUGUGUCACUUCUGGACAUGCAGGUUUAGAUUUCAUUUUGUUUCAGUUCCUUCUUGCUAGAUUGCAAUCCUAAAUUAGGAUUUAAUUCCAAGAAAAGAUUUUAUACCAGUAUCGAAACUGAAAAAAAAUAUCCAAGCCUGGAUUUUCUGAAGCUUCAAUAUUAUUAGGAAAUCCCUAGUUCAGGAUUUAAAAUCAGUAAGACUCUGAUGGGUAUUUUUUCCAUUUUUUUGCUCCUAGGCUAAUUCCUAGGAAAAUUUAAAAUCUUUUAAAAUGGUUAACAGUUAAAUCAUUAAUUUUUCUCAUUUCCUGCUUUUACACUUUGAAUUCAAAUGAUAUGUACACGUAUCCCCUGGCAAAGCACUCAGGAAGCUAAAAAAAAUAAGAGCACUUAUAUGGGAUUAUAGAUGUUUCCUGUUCUUCACGUGCUUAAGUGUUUUACUGUAGCACAGGGCUUCAUAGACCCCUAAGGAAAAGUUCUGACAAGUAUUUUAGGGGUAAUCUGGUUUCUCUGUAUCACACUGAGUACUUUUGGCAUUUAAUCCAGAAUUAAUUUUCAACAGGUACCUGUGCAGUCAAAAGCAAAUCUUUCUGUUUUUCAUUUAUGAACUGUUUCUGUGCAUAUGAUGGCAUUGCUUCAGUAAAGUAUAAAUACUUAAAUUAUAUCAUGGAAGAAGGAAUUCCUGUAUUUCCUUCAUCUGUUUUGAAGGACUUUUCUCCUUUUGAGGCUGAUGUUGCAGCUUGUCUUUAAAGCCACUUGGACUCCUUCACCUUACUGCUUACAUUGCAGAUUUAGCAGGAACAGUCUCCUUGACAAGGAGACUGUCUUGGAGAUCUCCACCAUUUGCCAAAUUUUGUUAAAAUUGGACAGUAAAACCCAAACAUAUUAAGGAAGCACAUAUGUACACACAGUCAUAAAAGAAGUCUUCUUUAUAGAGUAAAAUAGCAAAAAAAAUACAAUUAUUUGCACUUUUCCAUCAUGUAGCUUCAAUUUAAUCCAUUUCUGAGAUGUCUUAGUGGCCUGUAUGUUGACUUCUAAUAAAUGGUAGCAGUCACAAAGAUGAAGAAGUUGAAAAUGUAGCCUGUACUGACAGUUCAUCACUCCCUUGAUUCUUAGAUAAACCUGCAAAGUGAGAGGGUGAGACCAAAGAUCUUUUUCCACUAAAUUUAGACUUCAGUGUUGACAAUGGUGUAUGGGAAUGCCUGUAAUGGGAGAAAAGGCCUCCCCGAUGGAAAAUAAUGUACCUUGGGUUGGAUCCUCACUGGCAGGAAAGGUGUUUACUUUAAAGAGAUGCUUUUAAAUAAGAAGUGAAAGGUUGCUCAGCUUAUCAGCCAGACUGAGAAGGCCAAGGGUCCUUUGAUAAGGAGUUUCAUACCAGCAGGAGGGUUUCCAGAGUUGUUAGCUUGGGCUCUGUCUUUUUUAACUGUCCAAAAAGCUUUCUUUCCUACCAUACUUCUUCUUUUCACUUGGUGCCUCUUCCUUUUGUUUCUUCUUGUUGCAACAAUAUCCUUUAUUAAUCUGUAUUUUAGGCUGAAAUCCUGUAAUCCCUUUGGUGAGGUCAGGUACUCACCCGGUGGCAUUCCAGUGUUUUCUAAGGAACUCCAGCAGUUUGUGCCAGCUGGGGAUGUCUCCUUCUUCUGUAUCACUGUAUAAAAAACAGGAGUGCUUUGGUGUAGGUAGAGUGGGAUUAAUGUCAAUAACUAUGUUGAUAUUUGGCUAAGGAAUCUCGAGCAAGUGUUGUGCUGCUGACUCACACGAGGUGGGCAGUCCCAGCCCAGGCCAGCACAGAUGGAGCACAUCAGUGCAAGCUUGGAUGAAAAAAAGGCACGGAUGAAGGGCUGGGAAUGGUAUUACGGGAUAAAUGAAAAUGGGAAUAAAGCACUGCCGUGCUGUCAGCACUCAGGAGCCAUCAGGAGGGGGAAGUCAAAGCCCAGGCAGGGUCACAGCCUCCGUUGCCUGCGAUGGUCCUUGGGCUGGGCCCACCAAAGGGACUCAGUUUUCCUUCCAAUGACUCACUCUAAAGGCACCUCUUAUCCUCCAGCUAUUUUGGAGCCUAUUUUGGGCAAACAGGCAAACGUUUUAUUGGACAAACGUGAUUGUCACUCCAGAAUAUUUCAGGUUAUUUUCAAUGCUGGUUUCUCUUUUUUCCCAGUCCUCAGGGCUCUCUUUGAGCCCUUCAGAUGUAUUUGCCUACUGUUUUUGCCUCCCAUACUUGAGGCACACCGAGGUGUUUUAUACAGUGAUGGGUUAAAUAUAGAAAGUGCCUUAGAAAGGCAGAACAGAGCAACCACUCAAUCACUUCACACAUGGAACACUGGACAGUAAAUGAAGGGCUUCAGUAGCAGCAGGGCUGGGAUUCCUGACCUCUGGCAGGCACCCCUCCCACUGAGGGUGAUUUUAAGGAGUUACUGUUGAUUUCUUUCCACUCUGCCCCUUAUCAGAGGGGACAACUCACUGCUGGCACAGAUGGCCCAGGAAGGCAACUUUAAAUCAUCCAGACCUCCGCAGUGAGAGCAAGAUUUCAGUGUGGGAAAGCUUUCCUAUAAACUCAGCCCAAUACUUAAAAGCCUUUUAAAUGACCUGAGCUGAUGAGUGGUUUUGCUGUUUAAAUCAUGUGGAAUACAGAGCUUUACAGAGUUGUAAAGAAAAAUAGAUAAAAUUAUGCACUGUUUUAUUUUAUUUGUCUUUAAGGCGUUAGAUUCAGUAAAACCUGCAAAGGACAAGAAGUUAAUGUACUGCAAAAGAUAAAAGUGGUGUUACCAGAACAUGCUGCUGCCAGCCCAAAGGGUUUAAAAAGCCAGCUAAAAAUUACUCAGACUGACCAAAAAGUGCUGAGAUUAGUCACAUUUUAGUAUUCUGUGUGAUUGCUUUUUAGGCUUUCCACAGAAGGUUUUGAGGAAAAGGUUUAAAUACUCACGUUGUAACAUGUGAGCCUCACGUUCAGAAAGUCUUUUGGUUUUUGUUCAGGAAAAUGGGAAGACUGUGCCAGUAUGUCUUGUAGGGCAAUUAGAAACACCAUAUCCUAAGGGGGAUAAACAAGACUGAAGGGCUCAGCCACUGACUGAUGGAUCCUGAUCAGUGGUUUGGGUAAGUAGGAAGUGAAGGGGAUCACCCAUGUCCCACAGCUGGCUGGAUUAAGGAGGGUUUCUAGUUUCUAGAAUAUGGAAUCAGUGAGCACUGAGCUGGCACUCACUUUGCCCAGGGUUUGAAUUCCCUCAUUCGCCUGUGCUGAAUUCAAGUUCUAGUUGAGUGUAGAAUGAAGCCUGUGAAAAGACUGUGGUAUCAAGUGUCUCUUCCCCAAAGCAGCAAGGCAGCAAAUAGCAAAUUAAGAGACUAGGAAAAAGAUCACGUGUGAUGCUGCAUAGCACCCUGGGAGAAUCAUUAAAGGAGAGCUUCUUUAUUUUGUUUUACACUGAAUAGUGAUGGUCUAAGCCCUUUCUUCCUUUGAGAUUAAACCCCACAUUUUUCUUUAAAAUGCAGUUCUUUUCUAAUAAGAAUCCAAGUUUACAAAUUCUAAUUGUUUGGCUAUUUCACUAGAGGACAUUGCUCAGUACUUUCACUGAAGGGACUCUUGCUCAGGCUCUGACAAAGGGAAGCCAGGUGAGGGAUGUUGGCAGUGGCAGUUACUGAUAUUUUAAAUUUGGCUUGAACUUCCUCAGAGGAUGAACUUCCCAUUUGAAGCUGAAUGCUACACCUGUGUUUUGGACCUCCUGUAAUUUGUCCUAAAGUCAGAACCUGCUGCACAGACUGGGAGGCUGAGGGGAAGCUAAGACUCCCAACUAAAGUUGGAACUGUAAGGAACAGCAAGCAGCACUGUUGAAUGGAUUCCUCCAUGAGGUUAUUGUGCAGGUCAGGAGGUUAGCUUACUUUUGUCUUUUUCCUCAACUGCUGCAGAAGAAAUCCUCUGUG